GACGAACGCUGGCGGCGUGCUUAACACAUGCAAGUCGAACGGAAAGGCCCUGCUUUUGUGGGGUGCUCGAGUGGCGAACGGGUGAGUAACACGUGAGUAACCUGCCCUUGACUUUGGGAUAACUUCAGGAAACUGGGGCUAAUACCGGAUAGGAGCUCCUGCUGCAUGGUGGGGGUUGGAAAGUUUCGGCGGUUGGGGAUGGACUCGCGGCUUAUCAGCUUGUUGGUGGGGUAGUGGCUUACCAAGGCUUUGACGGGUAGCCGGCCUGAGAGGGUGACCGGCCACAUUGGGACUGAGAUACGGCCCAGACUCCUACGGGAGGCAGCAGUGGGGAAUAUUGCACAAUGGGCGGAAGCCUGAUGCAGCAACGCCGCGUGCGGGAUGACGGCCUUCGGGUUGUAAACCGCUUUCGCCUGUGACGAAGCGUGAGUGACGGUAAUGGGUAAAGAAGCACCGGCUAACUACGUGCCAGCAGCCGCGGUGAUACGUAGGGUGCGAGCGUUGUCCGGAUUUAUUGGGCGUAAAGGGCUCGUAGGUGGUUGAUCGCGUCGGAAGUGUAAUCUUGGGGCUUAACCCUGAGCGUGCUUUCGAUACGAGUUGACUUGAGGAAGGUAGGGGAGAAUGGAAUUCCUGGUGGAGCGGUGGAAUGCGCAGAUAUCAGGAGGAACACCAGUGGCGAAGGCGGUUCUCUGGGCCUUUCCUGACGCUGAGGGGCGAAAGCGUGGGGAGCGAACAGGCUUAGAUACCCUGGUAGUCCACGCUGUAAACGGUGGGUACUAGGUGUGGGGUCCAUUCCACGGGUUCCGUGCCGUAGCUAACGCUUUAAGUACCCCGCCUGGGGAGUACGGCCGCAAGGCUAAAACUCAAAGGAAUUGACGGGGCCCCGCACAAGCGGCGGAGCAUGCGGAUUAAUUCGAUGCAACGCGUAGAACCUUACCUGGGUUUGACAUGGAUCGGGAGUGCUCAGAGAUGGGUGUGCCUCUUUUGGGGUCGGUUCACAGGUGGUGCAUGGCUGUCGUCAGCUCGUGUCGUGAGAUGUUGGGUUAAGUCCCGCAACGAGCGCAACCCUUGUUCACUGUUGCCAGCACGUUAUGGUGGGGACUCAGUGGAGACCGCCGGGGUCAACUCGGAGGAAGGUGGGGAUGACGUCAAGUCAUCAUGCCCCUUAUGUCCAGGGCUUCACGCAUGCUACAAUGGCUGGUACAGAGAGUGGCGAGCCUGUGAGGGUGAGCGAAUCUCGGAAAGCCGGUCUCAGUUCGGAUUGGGGUCUGCAACUCGACCUCAUGAAGUCGGAGUCGCUAGUAAUCGCAGAUCAGCAACGCUGCGGUGAAUACGUUCCCGGG
rnacentral:rRNA from 1 species